rnacentral:rRNA from 1 species
GGCUUUAUCAGUAGUAUGGUUAAUACCAAAAAUAUAUGAUUUAGUACGGAAUUGCAUGGCUGUCGUCAGUUCGUGCUGUGAAGUUUAGGAUUAAGUUCUUUUUAACGAAUGCAACCCUAUAAAUAAGUUUUUAUUUUAGAGAUAAUUUAUUUUUUUAAAUAUACUUAUUUAAUCUAUAAUUAGACUAUAUUGAAUCGUUUCUGUAUAGUCUUUUAUAGGGGUUAUAGGCUGAAGUCAAGUCCCUAUGGUCUUUAUACGUUGGGCUACACACGUGUUACAAGGGUAAAAACAGAAAGACGCAAAAAAGUAAUUUUUAGCAAAACUUUAAAAAUUACCUUAGUUCAGAUUGUUUUAUGAAAUUCUAAAACAUGAAGAUGAAAUCGUUAGUAAUUGUAAAUUAUUAUGUUACAGUGAAACAAUAGUCAAAUUUUGCACACACCGCCCAUCACGCUCGGAAAGUCAAUAAUAGCGGAAGAUUUGAAAAACUCUGCGCAAAACUAAUAUUAUAUUUAUAUUAGUUGUUAUUAUAUUAUUUUUUAAUGGCAUGGUUGAAAAGUAGUAUCCAAUCUAGUAUUGGUAAUUUGAGUGAAGUUGACACAAGGUA